AUUUAUCUAAUAUAAAAAGUAUAUUUGACUUCCAAUCAAAAAGUUUGUAGAUACAAGAUAAAUA
rnacentral:tRNA from 1 species